rnacentral:rRNA from 1 species
AGUGAACGCUGGCGGUAGGCCUAACACAUGCAAGUCGAACGGCAGCACAGUAAGAGCUUGCUCUUACGGGUGGCGAGUGGCGGACGGGUGAGGAAUACAUCGGAAUCUACUUUUUCGUGGGGGAUAACGUAGGGAAACUUACGCUAAUACCGCAUACGACCUACGGGUGAAAGCAGGGGAUCUUCGGACCUUGCGCGAUUGAAUGAGCCGAUGUCGGAUUAGCUAGUUGGCGGGGUAAAGGCCCACCAAGGCGACGAUCCGUAGCUGGUCUGAGAGGAUGAUCAGCCACACUGGAACGGAGACACGGUCCAGACUCCUACGGGAGGCAGCAGUGGGGAAUAUUGGACAAUGGGCGCAAGCCUGAUCCAGCCAUACCGCGUGGGUGAAGAAGGCCUUCGGGUUGUAAAGCCCUUUUGUUGGGAAGGAAAAGCAGCAGGUUAAUACCCCGCUGUUCUGACGGUACCCAAAGAAUAAGCACCGGCUAACUUCGUG